ensembl:lncRNA
GUGGAUGUCGUCGUGUGGUUUCGGACAGUCGGUGUAAUAAUCAGGAUCAUGAAGUGGAUGAGAUGUUGCAACAAGUAAACGAAGUCAGACUGUAGAUUUUCCCUCUUGCUCUGUCUCCUCUCACAGGGAGAAGAUGAUCUGCAGGACCCUGCUGCUUGUCAUCCUCACCUCAUGUGUCUCUGGAUCAUUUGUAGUCAAUGUGACACAGACCUCCUAUCAGGCAGAGGAGAACCACAACAUCACACUGGAAUGGACGUUCACAACCCAACCUGACAGAUCCCCCAAAACUCUCAACAUCCUCUGUGAAUUGAUAACUGAGCAUACAGAUUCAGUCCUGUAUCGUGUUCGUGAAGGUGUUGAGGUGUCAGAGUCUCAGGAUGAAAAGUUUUCAGGACGUGUUGAGAGUGACAAAGACGCCCUCAGAGAAGGACGAAUCAGACUUCAACUGUUUAGACUCAGGACUGAUGACUCGGGUCUGUACCUGUGUGAACUGAACACAGAUUAUGGCUUUGGCUCUGCCAGAUGUCGACUCAGCAUCACUGCUACGGAUGACCCCAAACGUCAAAGUCCAACAGUGAACACACAACCAGAGAGUCGAGGAUGGCUCAACCUGUAUCCUUUACUGAUACUGCCAGCAGCAGCUUUACUGAUCAAACUCUGUUAUAAAAUCAUAAAACGAAAACAUAACCUAAAUCUAAACAGUCACCACCUAGGCAGCGACUGCAGUGAAGCAGUGGUCAACUUGAAUAAUUCAGAUGCCACUCAUCUUGCUGCUUCAUUAGAAGCCACAUCCACCAUCUUCAUCUGAGUGUGGACAUGACUUCCCUGAACCCCAAAGAUUGUCAUGUUAACAGCUAGGUCUGCAGUGGAAGCUUUGUGGAAGCAUCAACCUCAGUCUGAACUGAGAAACACUGUCUGCAGUCUGCAGCCAUCAUCACAAACACUGAUGGAAACAUUUAAAGCUCGUAUCACACAUAUCAUUAAUAACAUUUCUU